rnacentral:rRNA from 1 species
AAGAGGGAAAAGCUCAAAUUUAAAAUCUGGCGGUCUUUGGCUGUCCGAGUUGUAAUUUAGAGAAGUGUUACCCGCGUUGGACCGUGUAUAAGUCUCCUGGAAUGGAGCGUCAUAGAGGGUGAGAAUCCCGUCUUUGACACGGACUACCAAGGCUUUGUGGUGCGCUCUCGAAGAGUCGUGUUGUUUGGGAAUGCAGCACUAAAUGGGUGGUAAAUUCCAUCUAAAGCUAAAUAUUGGCGAGAGACCGAUAGCGAACAAGUACCGUGAGGGAAAGAUGAAAAGAACUUUGGAAAGAGAGUUAAACAGUACGUGAAAUUGCUGAAAGGGAAACGCUUGAAGUCAGUCGCGUUUGCUAGGGAUCAACCUUGCUUUUGUGGGGUGUACUUCCUAGUUAACGGGUCAACAUCAGUUUUGACUGCUGGAAAAAGGCUAGAGGAAUGUGGCAUCUCCGGAUGUGUUAUAGCCUCUAGUCAUAUACAGUGGUUGGGACUGAGGAACUCAGCACGCCGCAAGGCCGGGUUUUUAACCACGUACGUGCUUAGGAUGUUGGCAUAAUGGCUUUAAGCGACCCGUCUUGAAACACGGACCAAGGAGUCUAACAUGCCUGCGAGUGUUUGGGUGGAAAACCCGAGCGCGCAAUGAAAGUGAAAGUUGAGAUCCCUGUCGUGGGGAGCAUCGACGCCCAUGCCUGAGCUUUUGUGACGGACAUGCGGGUUGAGCAUGUAUGUUGGGACCCGAAAGAUGGUGAACUAUGCCUG